rnacentral:rRNA from 1 species
AACGAACGCUGGCGGCGCGCCUAAUACAUGCAAGUCGAGCGAGAAGGUGUAGCAAUACACUUGUAAAGCGGCGAACGGGUGAGGAAUACAUGGGUAAUCUACCAUCGAGUGGGGAAUAACCAACCGAAAGGUUGGCUAAUACCGCGUACGCCUCCGAGUCUUCGGGUUCGGAGGGAAAGCUGCACUGUGAGUGUAGCGCUCUUUGAUGAGCUCAUGUCCUAUCAGCUUGUUGGUAGGGUAACGGCCUACCAAGGCUUUGACGGGUAGCUGGUCUGAGAGGACGAUCAGCCACACUGGCACUGCGACACGGGCCAGACUCCUACGGGAGGCAGCAGUAAGGAAUAUUGCGCAAUGGGCGAAAGCCUGACGCAGCGACGCCGCGUGGGGGAUGAAGGUCUUCGGAUUGUAAACCCCUUUCGGAGGGAAGAUGGAGCGAGCAAUCGUUCGGACGGUACCUC